UUGCAGUGAUGACUUGGCGUCUGUCAAUCCCCUGAGUGUAGUCACUGAUGUCUUCGUGUCUCUGAGCAA
rnacentral:snoRNA from 1 species